AACGCACAUUGCGCCCCAUGGUAGUCCGUGGGGCAUGCCCGUCUCAGCGUCAGUGAAACCCAUCAACUCCUGACUUUUCUGUUGGAGGUUGGAUUCUGUCAGGGAUACCCGCUGAACUUAA
rnacentral:misc_RNA from 1 species